UACAGAGGGGGCAAGCGUUGUCCGGAAUUACUGGGCGUACAGCGCGCGCAGGCGGUCCACUACGUGCCGUGUGACAUCCGUCGGCUUAACCGACGGAGGCCAGGGUACACGGGUGGACUUGAGGCAGAGAGAGGGAUGUGGAAUACCCGGUGGAGCGGUGAAAUGCGUAGAGAUCGGAAAGAACACCAACGGCGAAAGCACUCUGCUGGGCCGACACUGACACUGAGAGACGAAAGCUAGGGGAGCGAAUGGG
rnacentral:rRNA from 1 species